GGCCUCUAAGCCAACCUGGGGCACCCAAGGCGACUUCUCCACAACCCAUGCGCUGCCGGCUGUUAAAGUAAAGCUGUUCACAGAAAGCACUGGUGUCCUGGCCUUGGAAGACAAGGAGCUCGGACGGUGAGUCUCCCUAUAGCAAGAGGCAUGUGACAGCACACGGGGGGGGGGGGGGGGUCUGUGGUGCCUCUCCUGCCCCGAGAGCUUGAGGAAGCACUAAGGGGCCUCAGCCUGGACUGUGCUGUGUAAGCUGGGAGACCUCGAGCCAGUCUCAACCUCUCGGAACCACACAGAGUGUCCUCCAUACACUCUGGCUGACAAGAAUGUGCUUCAGUAGACAGACUGGGGAGACUCCAUACCAUCAGACUGGGGAGCUAUUGAUAGCAAAGAUAUGUACAGCCUCUGACUAGCUUAAUGUGAAAUCCUUUGUAUUUAACUGCCUAACCUCCUGGCAACAUGAAAAUCAACACAAUGAGAUAAAACAGAAAUUACUAGUGUUUUAAUGGGGACAUUCAGAAUAUAAAUACUUGAAGUGUUCUGCUUACUCCCAGGUGGAGAACACUGUGGAAAUGACAGGUUCGAGACCCACCUGUUGGAGGUGCUCUGGGUGGCAGACACACAAGCCAGCAUGUCAGUGAACCAACUGACUGAGCUGUUAAACAACUCUAAGUAAAGCACCCUUGACUGCCCUGGAAACAUGUCCACAGUGCCAGGCUCUGAGAUGUCACACAUAGUUAGGGUGUAGAUGAAAUUGACUGCAAACAGGUUUUCUAUGUCUGCCAAUAUCAGGUGGGAACAGUAGAAAGUCAGGCGGGCUGCAGG